ACCCGCUGAACUUAAGCAUAUCAAUAAGCGGAGGAAAAGAAACUAACAAGGAUUCCCCUAGUAACGGCGAGUGAAGCGGGAAGAGCUCAAAUUUGUAAUCUGUUACUUUCAGUAACCGAGUUGUAAUCUCGAGAAGUAUUUUCCGCGUUGGACCGCACACAAGUCUGUUGGAAUACAGCGUCAUAGUGGUGAGAACCCCGUAUCUGGUGCGGAUGCCCAAUGCUUUGUGAUAUACUUUCGAAGAGUCGAGUUGUUUGGGAAUGCAGCUCAAAUUGGGUGGUAAAUUCCAUCUAAAGCUAAAUAUUGGCGAGAGACCGAUAGCGAACAAGUACCGUGAGGGAAAGAUGAAAAGCACUUUGGAAAGAGAGUUAACAGUACGUGAAAUUGUUGGAAGGGAAACGCUUGAAGUCAGACUUGCAUUUUGGAGUUCAACCGCAAGGUGUAUUCUUCAAUUUCGCAGGCCAGCAUCAGUUUUCGGGGGUGGAAAAUCGUAAUUUGAAGGUAGCAGUCUCGGCUGUGUUAUAGCUUUUUACUGGAUUCACUUUUGGGGACUGAGGAACGCAGUACGCUUUUAGCAAGGUUCUAGAGCCUUCGUACU
rnacentral:rRNA from 1 species